rnacentral:lncRNA from 1 species
AGAAAAGCAAAUUAUUAUAUUGCCAUAACAAGUAAAGAUCAUUACAAUAUAUCGAUUAUAUUACUACUGCCAUAAUAAGGAAUGCAACCUCCACAACAGGUAAAGUCACAACAAAUUACCAUGCACGGCUGCUUGUGUCUCAAGUAAAGUCUUAAAACUAUUCCCGAAUCAGUGUGUGACCAAUGGAUUUAAUUAAAUAUUAAAAUCUCAGCAUCCAAUCCCAAUAUACUUUCCCUAUUAAAAUAUGCUCUAUUAGAAUGCUAUAUAGCUUUGUUGCUUAUCAUAAUUUAUACUUUUCAGGCAUAGAGAGAGAGUAUGUGUGUUGGAUUUAGUGGAACAACGGCAAUAUUCCCCACUGGUGUAGAAAUCCCUCUCCAAUUGCGACCUCCAGUAGCAGCAGCACAAGCACUGCCAGCAUGGCUGCUCUGCCAUUCCAAGUUUCAGCACUUUUCCUCCAAACCCAUUCCCAACGGUCAGCGGUGCUGGGAGCUCCCUUCGUUGCGAAUCAUAAGUUGCCAAUAACUCUUCCACACUUCCAAGUGGAACUAAUGACCGCACAGAAAACAAACACAUCUCCCACUCAACCAAAACUGUUAGAGUUAAUUGUUAAAGUCAGUUAGUAUGUAGUUGCUAAAGCAGUUAAGCUGUUAAAGAUUCUAGUACUACAGCAGUCUCUCUUUCUUCUCUAUAAAUGCAUGUACUGCCUACUCAUAAAAGAUAAGAAAAGUUUUAUGAAUACAGAAGACUUAGUUCUACAGUUUUGUCUUUAAUUCAACAUGGUAUCAGAAGUUCAGGUUAUCUUCAAACUGCAGGUCUAAGCGUCUUCGCUGCUCAUGGCCCCACCAAUCAGUCCGUCCGUGGUUCCUCCUUCUCCUCCUGCAAUGGUGUCGAAUCUUGUCGAUAGCAUAGUAGAUGGUCAAUUUUUUUCCACCAAGAAAAUGAGUAUUCUUCUUGAUGAUUCUAAUUACCUUUUAUGGCGUCAACAGUUUAUGUUAGCUGUUAAAACCUAUCAACUUCAACGUUUUCUUGAUCUGUACACGGUUCCGCCGCCUCGGAUAAUUCCUAGUGAAGAUGGUGACCUUCAAGAAAUGUUGCGUUCUCAAGGUUCGAACAACAAGACAGUGCGAUUGCUUCUUGACUCCUGUCUUCAGUCAGCCAGGCUGUGCUUCCCCAUCUAAUUGGCAUGGACACCAGUGCUCAGAUCUAGAAUGCUAUUGUCUCUCUGUAUGGUAGCAAAACUACUUUACGUCUGAUGUUCAAUCGGUGUGCUCUUCAUUCGCAACGAAAAGGCGACCUGUCAAUGAGAGAGUUUCUAAUGUGACAGUCUGGCAAGCUGUGGUGAAAUUAUCAGUGAUCACGAACAUGUUACUACAAUUCUCAAUGGCUUGCCACCUGAUUAUGAGUUCAUUAUUUCAAUCAUUGUUGCCAGUCAACUUCCCUACAGUGUCCAGGCAGUCACGACCAUGUUAAUUGAUGCUGAAGUGUGCCAACAGGUCACAGUGGUUGAGAGCCCUAGCUCGGCCAAUCUUGUCUCCCAACAUCAUCUAGAGGCUGUGUCUGACAGUUCUACAUCUGUCUAUCGCCCAUCUUCUCGUGGUCACAGUGGUCACGGUCGUAGUCGUUCCUCAGGAUUACGGGUGCAGUGUCAGUUGUAUGGCAAGACAGGGCAUCUGGUUGAUCGAUGCUAUAAUCAAUUUGAUGCAACCUACAAUAGUGCUAGGUACAGGCCUCCACCUCAGGCAAACAUGUGUCUCUACAUGCCUAAUCAGACUCCCUAGGCGCUACGCUCUCUAUCCCAAUGUCCAUGCCUUCACCCUCAGGCUGGCCAUAUUAGAUGGCACUUACUACAAACUGGUCAAAUCCUUUUUUGGGCGCACCUCUACAAUCUACUCCUCCAUCCCAACUGUGCAGCCUCAUGUUCUUCUGGCAACACCUGAGACCGUAGGCGACAAUGCCUGGUACCCCAAUUCUGGUGCCACACAUCAUUUGACUCAUUCAGUUGCCACUAUUGGAGAUGAUCCCUCAUAUGAUGGCCCAAGUAAAGUUUUUGUUGGGAACGGUAAUGCUCUUCUGGUGUUAUACUCUAGUCAAUCCUCUCUAAUUACUAAAACACGGCCAUUGCAUCUGAAGUCGUUAUUGUUUGCACCUGGCAUAACUAAAAAUUUACUUUCUAUGUCAAAAUUCACGAGGGAUAAUUAGGUCAUGUUUGAGUUUCUACCCACACAAUGCCAAGUUCAUGACUUACGAACCAAGGAGGUGCUUCUACGAGAGUCCUUACAUCGUGGUCUAUACAGGCUUCAUUUACCAGAUGCUUGCAUGAAAGACAAGGACAGUCACACAACUCAGUGUCUUACAGUCAAGCUUCAGCUCCUCUAAAUGUGUGGCACUCUAAACUAGGUCAUCCAUGUAAAAGCAUACCGCUCAAGGCGUUACUACAUUGUAAUGUGUCUGUUAAGGACAAUAAAACAGAUUUUUCUUGUGUUGCUUGUCAUCUAAGCAAAGAGUGUAAGCUGCCAUUUUCUCAGUCACUCUCUCAGUAUACUGCUCCUUUACAGCUUGUAAUAGCCGAUGUUUGGGGGCCAGCUCCCUUUCCGUCUAACGGUUUCCAGUACUAUGUGGCUUUUAUUGAUGCAUGUACUCGGUAUACGUGGCUUUAUUUUCUGAGCUAGAAAUCUAAAGUUCUUACUGUGUUUCAAUUGUUCUAUAUACAAGUCGAGAGAGCCCUUGGCAAGCAACUGUGUACUUUACAUAGAAUCACUCAGAGGUUCACCUGUCCGUACACUUCAGCACAAAAAGGCAUAGUUGAACAAAAACACCAUUAGAUUGUCGAAACCGGGUUAUCCAUGUUAGCUCAAGCCUUCAUGCUUGUCACCUAUUGGAAUGAAGCUUUUAGCCAUGCCAUUUACCUUAUCAAUAGAUUACCUUCAGCCCCACUAGGUUUUAUUUCUCCUUAUGAAAAACUUUUUCAAACUAAAACCAGCUACAUGCUCCUUAGAACCUUUGGCUGUCUCUGUUUCCAAAACCUCAGACCAUACAAUACCCAUAAACUUCAAUUUAGAUCCACACCAUGUACGUUCUUGGGCUACUCUUCAAUUCACAAAGGGUAUCGCUGUCGAGCCACUGAUGGUCGAGUGUACAUCUCCAGACAUAUUACAUUCCAUGAAGAAAUAUUUCCAUUCAAAAAUAUCAUUACCAAACUUGUUAUAGUCAAGUCUCAACCUCACACUAGUUCUAAGUUACUUGUUUUAGCCUCUCAGAAUCAGACAAAUAGUCCCAUGUCACCUAUGCCUAUCCCUACUACUCUACACACACCACCCACAACAACCCAAUCAACCUCUACUCAUUCAAGCUCCCCUAUUUCUAAUAAUCAUAUCCUUCCACCCUUACAUCCUCUUACACAAAACAUACAUGCUAUGACCACCCGAAGUAAAGCUAGAGUAUUCAAGUAUAAGGUUUAUCUGACUGGUGUUACACAUACUGUCCCAGACAAUGUCCAUGAAGCCCAGGCACAUACAGAAUGGAAAGAUGCUAUUCAUGCUGAGCUACGUGCGCUAGUGCACAACAACACCUGGACUAUUUGUCCGUUACCCUCCCAUCGACGCACCAUUGGCUGCAAAUGGCUGUUUAAAAUUAAACAAAAAGCCGAUGGCACUGUAGAGCGAUACAAAGCGCGACUGGUGGCGAAGGGCUUCUCUCAACAUGCAGGCACUGAUUUUCAAGAUACAUUUAGUACAGUGGUAAAAGCUGCCACCAUCAGGACUGUUCUUGCACUUGCUGUGACAAAGAGGUGGCCAUUGCGUCAAGUAAAUGUCAACAAUGCAUUUUUGAAUGGGGAGCUCACUGAAGAAAUCUUUAUGAAUCAGCCACCUGGGUUUGAGAUACCAGACCUCAAUGGGCAAAAAAUGGUGUGUAAGUUGAAUAAAGCACUAUAUGGACUCCGACAGGCAAGCUUGGAUUCUAGUCCUCAAAGGCUGACCAUUCGUUGUUUACCCGCAAGUCAUCAGAGUGUCACCUACUGCUAAUGGCUUAUGUUGAUGAUAUAAUGGUCACUGGCAUCUCAUGUCAAGGCAUUGAUAAUGUUGUGUAGCAGCUUCAUGCAAAAUUUACCCUCAGACAUUGGCCAAUUACAUUACUUUCUUGGCAUUGAAGUAUAAGACAGAAAUGGAAGUAGCAGCUACUACUCCUACUCUAAUGGUAGUCACGCCUAAGUUGAUGGCAGUCAGGCCCUUGCAGACAGCACCCUCUAUCGAAGUACUGUUGGUAUACUGUAGUACCUAUGUAUUACAAGACCGGAUUUAUCAUACUGUGUGAAUAAACUUAGCCAGUAUAUGAAUGCCCCAAGUGAAAGUCAUUGACGAGCAGUCAAACGUGUUCUAUGCUAUCUUAUUGGUACUAUGAAUCAUGGUUUAUGGUUCUCUCACGGUCUGUUACAACUGGUCAGCUAUUCUGAUGCCGACUGGGCCUCUUCAGUUGAUGACAGGCGGUCAACUACAGGAUAUGUCAUAUUCUUAGGGUCGAAUCCAAUAGCCUGGUGCUCAAAGAAGCAGGCAGUGGUUUCUAGGUCAUCUUCAAAAGCUGAGUAUCGCAGCCUGGAAAACUGUGUCAAAAUUGCUGGGGAUCAAGCAACUGCUAGAAGAAGUUGGUAUCACUGUGGAACAGACACCCAUAGUCUGGUGUGACAACACCUCCACUGUCUCUAUGUCAGCUAAUCCCACUCACCAUGCUAGAGUCAAACAUGUUGAAAUUGAUUAUCAUUUUAUUAGAGAAAAAGUGGUAAAUGGCACCAUACAAGUGGUCGAUGGCACCAUACAAGUUAACUUUGUCCCGUCAGCUCAUCAAAUCGCUGAUGUGCUUACUAAACCAAUUGCUCCCAAGCAGUUUGUCGUGCUUCGUAGCGCUUUACAAGUCACAACAAGAGAUGCAGCUUUCAGACUUCAACAAAUUAGAGAACCAGAAGAAUGUUAGAGUUAUUGUUAAAGUCAGUUAGUAGGUAGUUGCUAAAGUAGUUAAGCUGUUAAAGAUUCUAGUCCUACAGUAGUCUCUCUCUCUUCUCUAUAAAUGCAUGUACUGCCGGGGGUGGAAACCCUUGAUCAUCAUAAACUCCAACCUAACCUAAUUCGUAUAUGUGGAACAAUAAAUACUUUUUGCAACCAUAAAUCCUGAGAAUCCCAACCUGACUAGCUUCACUAAUUCAGCGAGACCAAGCAUGGAUCCACCAAAAGAAGGUUACUACCAAUACACAAAGUGACUCAUUCAAAACAACCUAAAAUUUAUCAUUAGUUCAACAAAUAGAUUUCUAUAGUUUUUGAAACACAGAGAGGAAGUCUGAAGGGGAGUAAAGGUUUGAACGUAAAACCAAAACCCCUCUAAAGAGGAACAACAACUACUCAAAAUCUAAAAAUAUCUAUACUCAUAUAAAGUAGAAAUGUAACGGAAACAACCUGUAGCUAACAGAGAAUCGUAAGGCAACUUUAAUUAACUUCAAAGUCAAAUAUAGUUAUAGGGUACAUUGUCUUCAGGUUGUUUUUUCUUUUUUCCGACACUAGAAAUUUCAGACUGUAGUAUUUCUCAAGUAUCUAGAAUACUAUGGAUGAUAAAUUUCAUUUAUGCUGUAAGUAUUGUCAUGAGUUGUGGCAAUCAAUUUCCAAAAGAAUAGCAGAAUUCUUUCUUCCUUUCCCAAAUAAGACUCAAUUUAAAUUGUUAAGUCCCAAAAAAAAAAAAAAAUCCUAUUAAGGCUUUCCAGACAUGUAAGCAAAAAGGAAGUGAGUUUGAAUCCCCAGAGAACACAGUUCAUCAUUAAUCCUUUAUCCUCUCAUUGCUGCAAACAAAUGCUAGUCUACCCUUUAAUCCACUCAUUAUAAGCUUUUAUGAACUCUUGUCCUCCAUCAUGUUCAAAAUUGUUGAAUGCUAUUUAACUAGCUCUUCAAAGCGCUCUUGGAAAGGGUUAGACAUCUUAGCAAGGAUAAAAUCCAACCAUUUCUGUAAAUCUAGAUUAAUUACAAAAAUAGCAAUGACUGGUAGCUGAAUACAUGGAAUAAUGUCAAUAUAAGUACAGUAGAGGGUUAUUUAUAGAGGCUUAUUUAUACUGAGCAUUAGCCCUCAUCAAAGUAAAUAAUAUUGCAACAAGUGAAAAUUACAUUUAGCCACAGCAUUAUCCCAACAGCACAGGCAUCUUCUGAAGAGAAAAUUAGAAUCUCUGUAAGCAUUUUUACAUUGGGACUUUACUACCCAUCCACAUAAUUCCAGAAUCCUGACUUCGCACAUAUCAAAAACCCAUAACUUGAAAAUUAAGAAGUGAAAUACAUGAGUCAGGAGUAAUAUGCCAACAAGAAGUACCUGAUAAGCAAGAGUGUAUGCAUUAGUGAUCUUCCUCUUCUCUAAUUCCUCUAUUAUCAAGUCCACACAUUCUUCCAUCUCUGCCUUAUAAGGAUCACCUGCCUCUUCUACAUACGCAAGUGGCACCCCAUGUGCAGUAAAAAAUAUUACCACCUGCAACAUGUACUCUCAUUUAAUAUGCAGAUUUAUUGUAAGGUGACAAAUUUUAAAUUUUGGAUAGGCAAAAGCACCUAAAUAACUAGAAAAUCAAGGAAGCACAAAUCUAAGAAAAAAUUGCAUCUUGCAAGAGGAUAACAGCCAAGGCCAUCUUCACCACACACAGCCAAAGAAACUUCCCACGUGAUCACUAAAAGUUCAAGAGCUUUAAUAGGGAAUAAUAUCAAGAGAAACGCAGUUUCUUAUUUCGUGAUACAGGAUUCUUUAAAUGUAAAUAAAUAGACAACAAAAAUGAAAGGAAGAGGUCACUAGACACCCCAAUAAAUACAUAAUGAUUUCAAACUAACUUGCAAUUAAAAUCUGGUUCUCAAAUAUUCUAAAAAAUAGGCACAAUAGAAAGGCCAAAGCUAAGAAGCCAAAAAGGCAGGAAUCAAAUGCAAAACUGCUAUCUACCCGUGCAAAUUCAUAUGACAAGAAGACAUGUUCAACUUUUAAAAGAGUUCAUGAUUUUGACUAGUCAAUCAAGACCAAAAUCAAACUUUAGCAAUCAGAAACAGGAACUUUUUCAUGUAUUAUUAUGCUGCUUACAGUCUUAAUGUACAAAUUUCUGAAGAUAUUUUAAUAACUAACAAACCGUAGCUCUGGCAGAGAUAAUGAGUGAGGGCUAUUGCUGGAGAGAUCAAGAGGGACACUAUAAUAUCGUAAUCGAAUGGUCAUCAGAGUUUCCGAUUCUCCAGGCCUUCAAGAUGAUUGAUACCUUCUACAAAUACAAAAGCCCAAGCCAUUGAAAUUUGACUUGUCCUUGGAGAUGACAUAUUUAACUCUAAAAAACUGAACAUGCGUAGCAGUAAUGGCUCCUAAGACAGACUUACCACGGUAAAGGUCAGUAGCAUAUUUCAAAAAUUUAUAAUUUAACAUGUAGCAUCAGAUUCUCAAUGAAAACCCUUUGAAAUCCCACCACUAGAAAAGACUGUUGGUAAGAAGAUUUCAGAAAUUGACCCUACAACAUCCCAAGAAUAAGAAAUCUUCUUUACCCAGAACUAUACCUUAAGAUUUCCUAUGCAUUAUUUACACAUCAAUAAGCUUGACCUCUCCAACAUUUACCUCAGAUUCCUUUUAACCACAGUAGCCGCUUUCCUGCGUUAUUGCAGACAAGCUAUUCACUAGACAUUUCGUACUGGGCUACAUAAAUUUUGGAGAUUUCAUUUUUCACCAUCAACAGACAACAUGCAAAUUUUUGACAGUAAUCCUUGUUCAUUCAGCCACAUUCAAGAUUUUAGUUAUAUAUUCCCAAACAAUUACUUUAUAACAGAUUGCUUAAGCUAAUUUCUGCUAGUAUUAACAAAAGGCAUAAAAGUGCUAAAGAAAAAAAAAACUGUUUGUAUUUAACAGCAUAACUAUUCUUUUAAUAAACACAAGAAAUUUCAAAGCUAUGAUAAACUCACUUAGGCUGAGAACAUAUACAAAAUAUAUGAUCCACUUUGUUUUCUUGAUCUGUCUUAAAAUAAAUAGAAACUAGUAACUUUAACCCCUAUCGUCCAAAGGCUUAGCCUGAGCACCUUCACUGCUGCAUGGAAGUUUUAUUUCAAGCAAGAGAAUCAAACACUCCAAAACUUAAUAUGUGUGCUUUUAGCAAUCAAUUACUAACCAAUAUUCUUGCUAUGUGGCCAUAUUAUAAAACAGAAAUAACAAAUCCAACUGCUUGAGCUAAAAUUUCCAACAUUCGUUAAAUUUCUGCAAUAGGCAAUUUUGGCAAAAUAGACUACAUUCUUAGACAAAAGAUAGAUUUAAUUGCCGGGGACUUAUUUCUCCUCCUUAUAUUGCACAAGUAAUAAACCAAGCUCUUUUUUUUUCUCCUUUUUUGGUACAAAUAAAGCUAACCAUGUAAGAUAUUUACAAACCAACAAUAACCAGGCAAUUCCCAUGAGUAAUAAUACUAAAAUCCAAUAAUGCAAAAGGUCAAUAGUUUGAAAACCAUUUUUAAAGUAAGAUUUAAACUGGCUGUGCUUAUUUGCUUACUCAAAAUAGCAUUCCUCAACUUCAAAAGGAUAAUUUUCUGAUGAUCAAGAGGAAGUCAACCACAUCCAUUAAGGAUUGUCAUGAGGUAGCUUCCAAGUUUCAAGUACUAAAUAGUGAAGCAAAACUUGACAAGAGAAUUAGAAACUCACUUAGGAACAAUGCAUCAGUUCCAUACAAAAUUUAGGUUCAACUUCAACAACCUUUCUUCUGACGUGAAAAUCAAAAAGUAAAUAGCACAACUACCUCUCGUAUUAAUUCAGAUAAUGACCAGCCAUGAAAGAAAAAAUUGCCAAAACUCAGUCAACAAGAUUACAGAAAAGGUUUUAAGGACAUACCUUUUCAGGACGGUCAAACUUUUUCAACGCUUUUUCAAUUAAAUUUGCCAUAGAUUUUAUAUAUCCUUCACGUUGAUACCAAGAAGGUAUGACUGUAUGCUGCAUGUUCACUAGAUACUCAUCAUCGCUGAUGAACCAAUUGAUUACAUGGUCAGAGGAGUCUAAGAUUAUAUUUUAAGAUUACAUCAAGCAAUGUAAGAAAAGUGUCCUUCUUCCUCACCAAAAUAUACUUUCCAAGAGUCGAAGGCUUGAACCGCUAGUUGAUUUUGAAAAUUGAGGAUAAAGUGGAAGUACAACAAGCUUUGUUGUUCCAUCCUUUUUUAUCUACAUUAUUGUUAGGAGGAAAGUAAAAAUAAUUAUGUAUCACCAGAAUCAAUGUUCAAAUAAGAAAAGGCAAAGGGAAAAAGGAUUUUCUUUUAAACCAGAUUAAUGCAUUCAGAGGCCACCAGAUAGACAGCAGAACUACCAAAAGAAACAAGCAGAUCAUUAUAAGUAAUACCUGAAUGAAACUAUAUACAUACAUAUUUUUAUGUAGAAGGAAUAUUAUCUGUUAAAAAGUGGACUCGUUUUAAGAAUAGAAGAAAACAAGCAGACACCUAACCUCAAGUCAGUUCAAUCUAAUUAUAAAGCAUUCAUAUAUUAGCAACCCAUAAAUUUAAAAAGUAAGGUUUAAAAUGUUCGCAUGGAAAUAAUAACUUACAGUUGAAACAUUACAAUACAUGAAUAAUACUUUGGUGAUUUUUCACUUCCUUCUACAUCAGGAAAAAUAGUAAAGAAAUUUCAUAUCGAAUCAAGAUUGAAAAAGUUCAUCAUGAAACUUCAAAAAUGAAAAGCAAUACCCUCAUCCAACAAGUUCAAAUGAUUUAAAAUCGAAGACUAAAGUUAACUGCUUCAGGAGACAUACAGCAACUGCAUAUACACCAUCCUUCUUCAGUCCUCAUCAAACAUGCAGGAAAACAACACAAGGAAACAUGAAUAUUGGGCCAUCCUUAAAUAUAGUUUAACUUCAAAUUCAUUACUUACACAAAUAAAUCCAAUAAUUACUUUUCACUGUUCCGUCCCAAUAUUAGCAGGUGGCAAUAGACAGAAGAACAUCAAAAGUUAGUUUUCUGACAUGUGUUAGCCAAUAUGAACUAACAUUAAUUUGGGAUACAAAACACCAUAUGGAGGAUCUAGGAAGAGCCUUCAAAUUUCCAAAGACCCAUGUGAUUGUUUAUUUGAAUAUAUAUAUACAUAUAUAUAUGAUACAUCACAUUCUGAUUGUAAAUUACCAUCAGAAUGAAGUUCUGUCAAGUACAACGUUUCAAAUAUCAUUGACAUGCCCAAAGUCAAGUGGAAAAGAAAUAGAAGUGGAUUAACAAAAUAAGAGAAGGCAGACACAUCAGAGUUUCAGCCAUCCAAAAAAGAAGACUAAAACUAACCAAAUACCUGCUCAAUUGCUUCUUCAGUGAAUGGAUGCCAGUAACGCAGACCAACGUACACUUUUGCAGGGACAUCCUUCGCCCAAAGUGACUUUUCUUCAUCCUGAAAUGAAUCAUGAGAGGCGAAACGUAUUAAAGACUGGCAGAAGAGAUACUAACAUGAAGCAGAUCAGGAUUGCUUCAGCUAUAUAUUUCCCUUUUGAUAGCCUAGGAAUCAUCCAAACCAUCAGCCAAAACAAUGGCAAUUAUAUAUCUAUUCUAUUAAGGAAGAAGUUAAAAUCCAACCAUAAACAAAUAAACUCUAGAAAUGACAAUUAAUCGAUUUCCACAAUUUGGACUUGUCAAUUUUUUCAGUUACAUAUAAAACAAUAUAUUUUAAAAAAUUAAUUGGCUGUCACAAUGAACAGAGCUAUAAAAGUCAAAACUAGAAGCAGUACCCUCUAGGUUGAAAGUUUCCAUUACCAGUUCCAAUGUUUAAUUAAUUUCAUUUUAAAAUUUCUAUAACUCUUUGAGUCAAGGUUGCAAGAUAAAGGAUACACGUCUCUGACAGAACUUAUUGAGGGGGGAAAGGGAAUACACGUCAACAAAAGUGAAACAAAAAUAGAACAAAAGAAAAUGAGCAAAAACUAAUGGAAGCCAACAAGCUUUCCCCAUGCACUCAAUUCUAGUGUCCUUCCUCACAAAUAUUAGCAAAUGCAUGAGACAUAAGAGUAUUCGUUAAACUUGCAAAUAGAAUGAUGCAAUAAUUUAAUAAUCACAUUUUUACACCCUUGUUUAAGAUUUCGCAGGUUUGCUUCGAUAUGGAAAGAAUGGCAGACUUAGAUCGAAACUUCACUGAGGAAGAAGAUGAAGUCAUUAUCGGCUUACUUGGAAACAAGUAUAUAUAGUGAACUUAAACAAUGCGAGUGUGGGUCAUCUGUUUUUUUAUUGAAACUCAAAUGUGAUGCUCUCUAAUCGCUGCAAGAUUACCGGGAAGAACCGAUAGCGAGAUCAACAACUACUGGAACACUCAAAUAAAAAGAAAGCUAUACAUCUACCAUUGCUCAAACAUAUAAAUGUUGAAUAGAAGCUAAAUGAUUGGAAUGUUUGCAAUUAUAGAAGAAAAGGCAGUCUUUUAUUCAAGUAAAGAUAAAGAUGAUUACAAUAUAUCCAUUCUUCUUCUCAGAUAAUCUCCUUCAAGAGAGAAACAAAUUGAACGACCAUGGUCACAGCCGAAGCCACAGCCAUAAUGUAAUGUAUGAACGAAACAAAAAAUCCAAACAUUUUGCUUUUGCUUUUGCUUCACUACUCAGAUCUGCCUGCUCAAAAGGGUGGACUGACUUGAUCAUUUACAAAAAAGAUGUAUUUAUAAGGAACAAAAGCAAUCAACUGACUUUUCAGCUUUCCCACUCCAACCCCAUUGUUUUGAGAAGUUCAAUCACCAAAAACCAUGUAAAUUAAUUAAUACAAUUUUUUUAAAAAAAAAAUUGAAAAGUUGAUCCAAUAAUAAAAAAUUGCUAAUUGCAUGAAUUUUUUUAUGGAAUGUUUGCAUAAAAUGCUGUCUUCAUAUGUUGAUAAAGGAGUUUGAACAAUUUUAUCAAUCUUUUUAAGAUAUAAAGUCUAAAUUUUUUGGAGUGUUUUACAAAGGUAUAAUAAAAUGUUAAAAGAAUAAAUAUUAAAGAAAAUGAGAUAUGAUAAUUUUUUUAAAAUGUUUGUGUGGUAUAAAAAAAGUACAUUAUCAGUAUAUCAAAUACUAAACUUAAAAUUAUACAUAUUUAUAAUUUGAUUCGCGCGCUUUAAAUAUACUCCAUGUUACAUUUGAACAAGUAUUCAAUACCCAAACUGUGAUUAAGCUAACAAAAGGACGUAAUUAUUAGAAUAUUAAUACUUUAAAGAUUAUAUGCUAACUAAAACUUAAAAAUAUAUGUUGCAAUUAACUCUUUUUCUAAUAACAAUAUCCUAUGAUUUUCAUUUCAAUUCCACUAUCAUCCAAGACUUUAGGUAUAUUAAAAUUGCAUUCCUAGACAGUAUCCAUAAUAAUAGUAAUAGAGCAAAAUGAAUAAUUCCAAUAGAAAAAUUAAUGAAUUAUUAAUUUCUAUAUUGCAUUAAAUAAAAUAAAUGUCAACUAAUUCACUUUGGCUCUACACCCAUCAUUUUGGGAAUUUCAAUCAUCAAUUUUUUACCAGGUUCAUCGGAUACAAUUAAAUAAAUCAGUAGCCAAUUCAUUUAAUGCAUGCAUGCUGCUCAAUCCAUUAAUUCUAUCAAUAUGAUAGUUUCAAUGGAUACCUUAAAAUAAUAAUAAUAAUAAUAAUAAUUACACAUAAAAUUUAAUAUUUGUAAUCUACAAAUUUAUCUGAUAUUCAUUGAUGUUUGAUUUAAAGAAAAUAAAAUUUAUCUGGUAUGAAUUAUAUAAUAUAUAAAAAAUUAAAAAAAUAAAUUAUAAAAAAACUCACAUUGAACAUUUUCUAUCAUUCCUAUCAGAUGCCACCAUUAAAUAGUAAAAACAAAAAGAGAAAAGGGGGCUUUUUCACCAUUUUUCUUCAUCCUUCUUGACUCCCUCACCACCACUCUCAACGUUGACCACCUCUACAAGCCCACUAUCAUUUAAUCGCCACACCAACAUCACUUACUGUCACUCAUUUGCCAAUACAUCACCACUAUAGCCACCAAAUCUCAACCCCUAAACACUCUAGACCAGUGAAACCCAACCAAAAACAAAAAUACCAAAUAGCAAGCAUCCAAAAUCAAAUCAAUAAAAAGAGAACAUGUAACUCCCCAAACUCGACCCAAUCAUUCAAAAUCAUUUGUUUAUUUAUUCAAAACUAAAUACCUUGGCUAUUCGUCAUUAUUCAGGAAAAACACAUUAACUUCAGAAUCAAAUGUCUUAAGAAAUCUCAUUUGUAAAUACUAGUAAUUUUGAAAACUAAGUCUAAGUUUCUUUAAAACUCGUUUCUCAGGAUUACAGUGGAAAAAUGUAAUAUUGACAUAUUUUUAUAAGAAUUGCAACAAAAAAUUUUACUAAAACCAUAUUUUGUUAAAAAUCAAUAUUUCAUAUAAAUUCUAUAAAACAUCAAUAGACAAUUGAAAACCUCAAAAACCAAGUCGUAUUUUCAUCUAAAACUCAUUUUCAUUGUCAAAGCGAAAAAUAGCAAUUUUAUCAAGUUUUAAUAGAUACCAAGUUACAUGCAUAUUCUUAUCAAAUACUAAUUUAUGCAAUUUUUAAAACUUAAUGUCAUGAAAUCAACUCAUGCAUAUCAAAAUGAAAAAUCCCUAAAGUAAAGUCUCAUGCCACAGUCCAUACUCAAACUUAUUACAAUCCCAAAAUAACAAAAUAUUAAGAUAAACUUUAAUUACAUUAAUUUAAAAAGAAUUCUCAGAAACUUCUGCAAAUGUCAUCAUUGAAUCCUAACCUCGAGGUUAUCUGUAAAAUUAGAAAACUAAAGAAGGUAAGCUAUAAAGCUCAGUGUGAAUCUUAACUCAAGUAUUAAGCAGGAAUUCAAUAUACAAAACAAAUAACAAUAAGCGCUUACUCAUAAUUCAAAAUAUCCAAUAUUUAUACAUAUGACCAUGGCAAUGCAGUUUUUGUAAAACAAUUAUGCAAAUCUUUUUAAAACAUCUUACCUAUCACCGUUACACUCCAAAAUUGAGUUUCCUAGAACUCGUCCAUCCAAUCACUCCAAAUUUACAGAUAAGCUGCUAAGUAGGUUGUGGAUAAACCACUAAUAUUUGCAGACAAGUUGCCAUGUAGGUUGUGGAUGAAGCCACCAAUAUUCAUAGACAAGCUGUCAUAUAGGUUGUGGAUGAAGCCACUAAUUCUUCCUUCCUUACAGUGUCGCACCUCAUAUAUGUGAUAUUGUAACACCCCCUAACCCCAAGCCGUCAUCGGAAUAAGGCUACGAGGCAUUACUGGACUUAUACACUAACAUUUAUACAAAACUGAGUCAUAAACUUUACAUUCCAGAUCAAUUCUUAUCAAAUUUCAUCUUAAAAUCCUUAAUAUAGGUCUACGGGGCCCAAUAUAUGUUUUAGAAGUGAUUCGGAACUAAACUGACAACUUUAGAAAUUUUUCCUUGAAGAUAGGGGCACAUGCCCGUGCGGCCUAAGACACGCCCGUGUAGCCUGGAACAUGCCCGUGUGGCCUGCCCAUGGGUAGAUUCUAACUUAUUCACACGGCCAUGAAACUAACCUAUAGCCAAUUCUGACUUUUCCACACGGCCUGGGCACACGCCCAUGUGACUUGGCCGUGUGAAAACAUAAUUUUUGAUCACUUUAAAGCUAUUUUCACAUACUAAACAUACCCUAUUCAUGCCCAAAACAUUUACUUAUAUAUCUUGAUUAAAUAACAUUCAUCAAACCUUUCAAACUUAGCAAAUUAUCAUUCAUUCAUUUCAUUACCUCUUAAGGAUUAUGCACCACAUUUACAUUCAGAAUAUAAAACAUUUACAAGUGACAAACACCAAACCUAGUACAUGCCACAUUUCUAAAAGAUAGAUGUAUCACCAAAAGUUGAGCUGAGGCCGAGAUUGACUCGGAUGCUUGACUGAACUUCAACUUUACCUAACCUGCGCACGGAAAACAACCGUACGCUGAGUAUUGGAAAUACUUAGUGGUAUUAUCAUAAUUCAAAUUAUAACAACAAUAAAAUAUCAUAACAUACAUAGAUAAUUAGCAAAUCAUACAUACAAAUCAUACAUAUAAACUCAUACCAAACUAUCAUAUUUCUAUUAUAUCAUUUUUAAAGGUUAGAUCCAAUAAAUCAUCAAUGGGAUUUCAAUUAACUCAUAAGCCUUUGAUUCAUCUCUCAACCACAUAUAAUUAUUCAAUUCACAUUUCAAAUAUAAAUACUUCAUAAACAUUUGGUUCAUGCCUUCAAUCUCUUUACAAAUUUCAUCUCACAUUCCAUCUUACAAUAUCACUUUCUCAUUUUAUUCGAUAGCUCAAUUAAUCAAAUUCAUUUGAUUUUAUUAUUUCACUUAUUUUCCCCUAUUAACAUGACUCGGACUUUGGCGGAUACACGGAUCCACCCAAACACGCCAGAAUGGCGACCAACGCCUUAUCGGAUAGUUCAAAGCAAAUAAGUGACAACCAACGUCUCAUCGGCUAAGCCGAAGCAAAGUGGCGACCAACGCCUCAUCGAAUCUAUCUGAAGUAAAUAUGACACACUAAGUGUCUCAUUGACUCGAGGUCGAAGAAUCCCUGAAUUCUUCCUAUCCUAUGGCAUGCCAACUAUAUCCACCCUAGCCCGACUAAUUAAUAGGGUAUCAAAAUCACAUAUUCAUAUUACUUUCACUUUCAGCUGAUCGUAAUCAUUCGAAUUCAAAUCCAUCGCAAUAACAAGUCAAUCACAAUCUCAAAUUCACCACAAAUCUUUAUACAAUUCAAUUUCACACAUGUAUACAUUCAUCAAUCAAAUACAAUACAAAUAUCACUACUUACCUCUCAUUCAAAUUCCAUACACAUAUAUUAAAAUUAAACAUUUAAUAAGAAAUAACUUGAAUUAUGAUAAUACAAACCGAUAUUUUUCUUGAGCUAUUCCUUGAUCACUUUUUCCUUUCCCUUCUCAUUCAACGACGGUUCCGGUGCUAUGUUAGCUACGAACAAUUAUACAAUUAAAAUUUAUCAAUACACUAAUUCAUAAAUCACAUUUUCACUUUCUAUCAAACUUUUACAAAAAUUCCAAUUUCGUCAUUUUUCCAUAACCAAUCUUUUUCUUUAACUUAAUCUUCAUAUUUUCAUUUAAUCAUCUCAUUAAUAAAUCCUAGCUCAUAAAAUUCAUCAUAAAACAUAACUUUUGAGCUCCUUUACUUAAACCUAACUUAAAAUUCUUUUAACAAUUCACUCAUUUUUCACUUUUAACUUAAAUUUCUAUCAAAUUAACCCAUAAAUCCUCAAAUUAUUCAUCUAAAUAAACAUCUAAAAAUUCAUUAUUUUUCUUCAUAUUAACCUCAUACAUGUAGAACUUUGAAUUAGGAUUCCAUACACAUAAAAAUCACAAGAAAAAGAACUAAAUCAACUUACCAAUCAAGCUUUAAGCCUUUAACCUUCAAUUUUCCCUUUUUCUUUUUCUUUUCUUCUUUCUUUCUCUCUUUCACGUUUCUUUCUCUGUAAUUUUCUAUUCUUUUUCUUUUGUUUCUUUAUUUUAUUAUUCUUUAUUUCAUUUUAUUUACUUAAUUAAUAUUUAAUUAUAAAAUAUCUAUAUAAUAACAAAUAAAAAUGAUACAUGUGUCUUUAUACACACAUGUACACAUGUGUUAAUCCCACACCAUACAUUUGUUAUUAUCUCCAUUAAUAGAUAAAAUAUAAAUAAACAAAUAUAUUUAACUUAAUAAACAAGUAAAUAUAUAUAUAACAUACAUUUGUACUAAUAAUUUAAAAACACAUGUAUUUAUUCUCUAUCUUACACAUGUUACUAAUUUGGUUUAAUUGUUAAUUUAGUCAUUUAUCCUUUCUCUAUAUAAAAUUAAUGUAUAUCAAUUUUUAUUUUAGAUUAGACCUACACCUGAUAGUAGAUCCAAAACAAAUCACCCCUCUAAAGAACGCUCACACUUCGAUCUAAUCGAUAGGUCACCUACUUAUCAACAAACGUGAUUUCUUAUUAGGGAGAUUACUUUUAAUGCUUUAUGAAAUAAGUAAAUUUAAUAAAAUUCCCACUAAUUGCAUGUCAUGUCAUGUGCAUACUAAUUGCCCUAGGAAGUAGACAAAUCGGUUCCUAUUUUUAUGGCUACCAAUAUCAAGCUUCUUUAGUUUCAAAUAUGAUUUGGAUUAAAGUGCAUGAUUAUUGUUUGGUUAUUGUCUACCAUAUGCAUGAUACUGUUUUGGAUUAAAGUGCAUGAUUAUUGUUUGGUUAUUGUACAUGAAAAAAAUAGAUUUUUUUUGUGUUAAAUUAUCUUGUUAUUGGUUAUUGUCUGCCAUUGCCUAGGUUGUAUUAAAGUUUUUGGUUAUUGUCUGGCAUGUGUAUGAAAAAAAUAGAUUUGUUUGUAUUAAAUUAUUUGGUUAUUGUACAUGAUAUAAAUGAAUGUGUUUGUAUUAAAUUUUUUUUAUAUUGGUUAUUGUCUGCCAUUACCUAGGUUGUAUUAAAGUGUUUGGUUAUUGUCUACCACUACCUUUAUUGAUAUUAAAUUUUUUUGGCAGGUUUAAUUGAUGACGAAUUUAAUGAGAGUGAAGAAGAAAUGUCUAAUUUUGAUGUGUAUGAUAGGAUAUGUCUAGUAGGAUUAGGGUUAAUCUAGAUGGCUUAAACAUGGAUGAUAUAAAAGUAUGGGAACUGUUUGAUAAUGAUGAUUCUGAGAGGUUAAAUAAUGCACAUGAAUCUAACUCAGAUGGCCAAAAUUGGCCUGAGUUCAACCCAGACAAUGACACGAAUAAUCUAAAACUUCAGGUUGGAAUGUUAUUUAGAUCCAAAGACAAUCUAAAAGAAGCUGCCAAGCAGUAUGGUAGGUUGAAUAAUUAUUUUAUUAAGUUCCCAAAAAAUGAUCUAAAGAGGUUAAAGGCAGUUUGUAGUUCAAAAUGUUCUUGUUACAUAUGGGCCUUUAGACUAUACCCUAAUGACCCUACUGACUAGGCUUGGCAAAUUAGGAGUUCAAACCCUAAACAUACUUGCUCUAAAGUCUAUAAAACUAAUAAUAUAACCUCAGCUUGGAUAGGUCAACAUUAUAAAGACAAGUUCAUUGUUGAUCCUAAUUAUUCUUUGACAUCACUGCAACAAUAUGUUAAAAGAGAUUUCCUUUGCCUUGUCUCACUAACCAAAUGUAGGAAGGCUAAAUUUAAGGCAUUAGAAUUUACUUGAAUGAGCUUAUAAGGUUUGAUAUAAGAAGAUUUAUGAAUAUCUGUUGGAGGUUAGGACCUAAAAUGUUGGAACAACAAUAAUCUGUUAUCUAGAUAACAGGUUGUUUCAAAAGAUAUAAGUUUGUUUACAGGCAUGCAAAUAUGGGUAUAGGGUCGGUUGUAAAAAGAUAAUAGGUUUAGAUGGUUGUUCUUGAAGGGCUACUUUAGUGGCUACCUAUUGGCAGCUGUUGGGAUAAAUUCAAAUAAUAGCAUCUAUCCUAUUGCAUAAGCUACUGUUGAAAGUGAAACCAAGUAUCAUGGCUCUAGUUCUUUGAGUUGUUUGCAUUGGACUUGGAAAUUGUGAGUUCAUAUCAGAUAUAUUUCAUGUCUGACAAGCAGAAGGUAAAACUCCAUUUGUCUGCUAUGUUUUAUGUUGUUUUUAUUUAGGAUGGUAUGUCAAAGAAUUAAUGUAACAUCCAAUAUUGAUGGGUCUUUAGUCUAGUCGAGUAACUCGAAGGAAUCUGAAUGAUGUGGACCUAUUCAUCCAAUUGAAACUUUUGGCAUAUAUGGAGGACGCAUAGCUAAUGUUAUAAUAUAAGGUAAUGAUUGCUCUCGGAAAUGUGUAAAUAUGUAUAAAAGAAUAGAUUGAUAAGUGUGUCAAGGGUUCUUAGGUAAUGAGGUUAUCGCCAAAGGUAAGGUAUACCGAGUUUGUCUAGUUAUGGUGCAAGUGACAUUCUAACGAGAUGGUCAGGAAUGAAAAUAGGGCUAAAUUAAGGAUACAUAAAGAUUUUGGAUUCUUAUGUAUGUUUCUCUACAAAUGUAAGCCACUAUUAAGGACAAUUUUGAAAGUUGGUGACAUGUGUUAAGUUCCACUAUGAGAACAUGGGUUUUACAUAUAAAUUAAUGUGAGCUUUAUAAGAAAUGAGGAGUUAUCUUCUUCCUUCUAGUUCAAUCACAAUUGUUAACUUAUUUCGAAGUUGAUCAAUGAUCUUUCUUGCUAAGCUAAAACUAAAUAUCGAAGUUCGUGCAGAAGGUUGUUCAUAUUCUGGGUAAGUAUUAUGGACUUGCAUGUUGACUUUUGAAAGAGUAAGCCUAUCUUAUGUGUGUAAAUAGUAAGAUGAGGAAGUGAGGCAUUGCAUAGAGGUUAUCUAGGUUUCAAAUGACGAUAAAAGUUAUACAAAUGAGUUUUAAUGGUACCCCAAUGUCUUAUAGCAAUGAAUUACUGAUAUUUCGUGAUAAGUGUUUGGAUUUGGAGAUUAAGCUGUUGUUCAUGGGUGUAACGUGAGUUCCUAAGAUGACUCAUAUGUACGUAAAUUGGUUUAGUCUAGAUACUUCAGUGAAGAAUCGUAUGAACUAUGAAUUGAGAUUAGAAAAUGAUGGUACGAUGAGUAUGUUGAUAUAUGAAUGUUAAAUAAGAUUUACAUGUAUAUUUUGUAUGAUUCUGAAAAGUAUAGAGUAUGUGAUAUGAGAUCUAGAGCAAAAAAUAUAACUGUAAGAGUAUGUCUGAUAUGUAUGUUAAGCUUAGUGCUAAUGCAUGAAAGGUCUAUUACGUGAUUUUGUGUCUAUUCACAGCGGUGGAGUCUAAAAGGGGUCCAUCGCGACUUUAAACACGAUAUCUGAAAGGAAAAGCCUAUGGCUAUGGCACCAUAUUGUGUAAUACCAUAGUUGGGCUAUGGCGUUAUGUGGAAAAGAACUAAAAGAAUGUGAUUACAUAAAGGGGUUAUCUACGUGACCCAGGACGAUGAGAGGAAAACAUCACGAAAAGGAAGCUUUUGUGGCUAUCUAUGAAAAGGAAGCCUUUAUGGUCAUAUUUGAAAAGGAAGCCUUCGUGGCGAUCUAUGAAAACAAUGCCCUUAUAGCGCACUCUGAAGAAUUGUAUUCAUGGUGAACUCUGAAGGAAAUGCCUUUAUGGUGGACCCUAAGGGAAAGAAAUUGCAUUCAUGGUGAACUUUGAAGGAAUGAUAGUUGUAAUAAACUCAAAAGGAAAAGUUAAUAUGGCGUAUCAUGUUAUACAUUCGAUGAGAUAUUCUAAUGAACUUCUUUUGUGGCGAGCUUCGUAUGAACUGUUAUGGCAUAUCCUACAUGUCUAAAGAUAAGAGCAAAGAAACUGUAAUGUGCUAGAGCAUGUGGCAAAUUCAGAGUAUGGGUUAAUUAGAAUUGAAGACCAAAUCUGAGUUCGGGUUAUGUCUAAUAAAUUGAAGAAGGUUAUCUAUCUAUAAUUAUUAGAAGAAAAAUGGUAUCCUCCACAAAGGAUCAAAUCAUAUAAUUAAAGAAUGUAUAUUCUAAGUACAAAACCAUUCAUGGAUUGCGAAGAAACGAAGACUUAGAGUAUGUAUGUAAAAAUAACAAUAUGUUGUCCUUGUAAGCCUCUGGAAUGGGUAAGGUUAAGAAAUCAAAAAAGCACAAGUGAAGAACAUAAGUAAUGUAUCAAAUAUGCAGAAAGUAAUGCAUGAUCUCAAAGUCAAGGGUGACAACUAAGAUACGAGGAAUGACAUUCUGGAAAGGUAUUCGCUAGAUACAAGUUGAAGAACAAAGAACAAUAAGAUGAUGAAUUGAAUUGCCAAAUGCGAAAUACAAAAAUGAUUCAGUAAAUGGGUGUUUACCUCACUAAGUUCUCAUGAACUUACCUCUAUGCCUUAUGUUGCAAGUUAGUUGAUUUAAUUCUACACUAGGAGGGACGACGCCAGGGCUACGCCAAAAAACUAGCAAGGCAGGUUAUUAUGCUUACAGAAUGAGUUGGUAGCAUAAAUGUAGUCUGUAACAUUAUUUAAGAUUUACACUUUGAGAUAAUGUAAUUAAGUUAUGAGCCUUGUCUAAAAGUCCUUGAAGUAGAAAUUGUUGUACAAUAAUAAUUUUCCAAUGUAUAUUCAACUGAACUUUUGGUUGAGAGAUUAUUUUAAUUAAGUUGUAUUAGUUAUGAAAAUCGGGUAUGAGUAUAUAAGCAAAAGUUUGUAUUUGUGUUGUAACACCCAAGACCAGAAUCCAGUGAAUCAGAUCGGGUUGAGGGCGUUAUAAUAAAUUAUUUUUGUUCUAUUUGCAGGGACUUGUAGAAGCAAUAUCCAUGUUGUUUCUUAAUGCAGAAACAAGACAUUGUGUUAAACACCUACAUGUCGAUUUCAAGAAAGCUGGUUUUUGAACAAAGAAACUGAAAGAUUUGCUUUGGAAAGUUGCCAGAGCAAGCACUCCAAGGGAUUUUGAGGAUGUAAUGUUUGAACUAAAGAAUACCAAUCAACAUGCUUAUGAUUGGUUGAAGGAAAAGAACUCUACUCACUAGUCAAAGUCCCACUUGUCAAUUAGGGGUCAUUCUGACAUGUUGGUGAAUAAUAUUUCUGAAUACUUUAACAAGGUAAACCCCUAUUUAUUUUCUACAUGCAAUUCAUUAAGGACCUUGUCUCACUAAUCAUUUAUGUUACUUGCUAGUAGGUGAUAUUAGAAGCAAGAGGGAAGUCCAUUCUGACCAUAAUGUAAACAAUUAAAACCAAAAUUAUAUUGUUGAUUGUCAAGAAGAAAAAAGAAGUUGGAAAAAUUAAAGGAAUCUUACCUCCAAAGAUCAAGAAAAAGCUGGAUGUCAAUAUGAAAAAUUCAUUGAGGUAAAUAGAUGCUUUUUUAAUAUAUUUAUGCCUUUAUUCUACCAUCACAUGUUGGUAAAGCUAGCCACAUGUUGUUUUUAAUAUAUGUGUGCCUUUGUUCUGCCAUCAGUUUACUUGAGUAUAAUAUGAUAUGUUUUAGUGAUUGUUUUUAGGUGUGUUCCAUCGCAUGCUGGUGAGGGAUAGAUAUCAAGUUGAAUGUGGUCCAAGUAAUCAGCAUAUGGUGGACCUAGUUGAGAAUUCCUACUAUUGCAGGAAUUGGGAUCUCACUAGCAUCCCUUGCAUGCAUGCAGUGGUUGUUAUUCAUAAAAAAGAUGAAUACCCUGAAACUUAUGUAAAAACCUAGUACACCAAGCAAACACAGCUUGCCAUUUACUCCAACUUCAUAAGGCCAGUAAGAGGUUUUAAGCAAAUGGAGUCUGUACCAGACAUGCUGCUAAUAUUGCCUCCUACAUUAAGAAAGCCACCUAGUAAACCUACUAUGGUGAAAAGGAAAGAAUCUGAUGAACCACAGACAACAUAAAGGAUGAACAAGAGAGAGGUGGAAAUGAGGUGCAGUAAAUGCAAAAAAUUAUUCCACAAUAAAAGGAGUUGCAAAUGGGAAGUCGGUCAAAACAUUUUAGUAAGUAAUCUACCUUGGCUUCAUUAAAUUACUUAUAUAUGCGAUGCAUUUGAUGGAUUUCACUUGUACGUGUAGGUCAAAAGACACAAAGUUGGUCUUCAUAAUCAAGUGGUUGCCCCAAUUCAGCAAGAAGCUACCCCAACUCAGCAACAAGCUACUCCAACUCAGCAAAAAGCUACCCCAACUCAUCAACAAACUACCUCAACUUACCAACAAGUUGCUGCCCCAAGAGAAAAGCUUUUACUCAAGAGGAAACCAACCACUGUUAGAUGGAUUUCUUCUACUCAAGAGUUAUUUGUGCCAAACCUAUCGAUGACAUUGUGAACCGAGCGUUUAUUUUGUUAACUUUUUUGAGCUUGUGUAAAUUUGCCUAUUGCUGCUACUAGUUUCUUAAUUUAGGCAAAUUAUUUUUUGUAAAUUUGCCUAUGAUUGCUACUAUUAUCUAAACUUAGGCAUAUAGUUACUAAAUUUUUUUUUAAAAUUUACCUACAAUUCAAAUGUGUUCAAUUGUACUGAAUUGUUAGCCCUUCUUUUUGUAAACAGUUUGGCUUAAUUUAUGAAUGAAAAUUUAAAGGUGACUAAUGUUUUAUGUUUUUUUCAUUUGUUUUGUCUCUUCUACCCUUCUGAGCAUUGAUCCAUGUAAUGUAAGAAAAUGAAAAACAAUAACCAAAUACUUUUUCAAGUCUUAAAAGAAGAUUAAACAUUCCACAUUGUAUUCAGAAAAUCAAAUGAAGUGAAAUACAAAUGUAUGAGAUUGGCAUUAGUCUUUCAACUUUCAAGUUUCAACUAAAACAUACAAGCAAACUAAUACCUUUUACAGACCAUGACAUUUAGGUCUGAAAGCCUCCAGUCACUAUGAAAGAAUACUCUUCCAAUACCAGCAGCCAUAUAAGCUAGUUUUCCAUUUCAACAACGACAACACCAGCUAUCACAUAAGCUAGUUUUUCAUUUAAACAACAACAGCAACAAUAUUACAAAUAACAGCACCAAACACCAUGUUUUUCUCGCCCUCUUCAUUGCAUGCUUCAAUGUCCUCACUUUUUUCAGAAGACCCAACAACACAAUUCCUAAACGAAGUGUCAAUCGUGGAUCAAAUCAGGUGAAAAAAUGACAUGGAUUUCAAAACCCACUCCCAUUCUUCUUACACUCCAAAAACCUCCUACCUGGGUUGUCAUUAGACCAAGACGUCUUUAAAUUGGCUGGGUUUCCACAAUAGCACACCAGUAACACAGUCUGUAUCUCCAUUUCUUCUCUUCUUCUUUUUUCUUCUUCUCCUCCUCCUCCUCCUCUUCUUUUUCUACUAUCUAAACCCUAAACUCUUAAAUGGGGCUAUUUAAACUGGUGUUAGUUGUCCAGCUAACCGAUUAAUGACAACAAAGACUCCGUUAAGUGCCAUGUCACUUUUCUGUUACAUCUGUAAUGGAAAAUGAUUAAAAGGGUUGAUUUAUUAUUUUUAGAAAGUUGAGUAACUAAAUUGAAAUAAAAGUGACUAUCUUGUCAGCUACAUUAAAGUUGAGUGCCUGUUGGUGUAAUUUACCCAAAUUUUAAUUAAAUCCUACUUUUUAAAAUUUUCAUUAAAUCCAAAAAUUUUGAAAUUUUAAUUAGUACCCAUAAAGCUUAAUACUAAGAUGAACCACUAAUGAUUAAUCAUCAAAAAAAUUUCCAUUAUGGGUUCCUCAUUAAUGCUUAGCCUCCACAAGAAAACCUAAUUGCUUCCUCAUCAAGACCCUUGUGGUACGUGGUCUUCAUGGAUAAUUGCAUGAUUUUUUGUUCUUCCCAUAAAAAAUGUAAGCUUGCAAGCAUAAAAUUUUGAUGGAAUGUUUGAAUAAAAAACUCUCUUCAUAUGUUGAUUGAGGAAUUUGAAGAGUUUUUAUUAUGUUAGCUUCAAUUUAAUAUGACAUUUAAAUUGUUCAUACAAUAAACACAUGUAUAUUUUUAAUUUGAUUAACGUGUUUUAAUUGUAUUUCGUAUUAUAUUUGAACAAGUAUUUAAUAUCUAAAUUAAUGAUUAGGUGGCUGUAAGACCUAAUUGACAGAAUACUCUUACUUUAAAGAUUUAAUUAAAACAUUUUGAAAUUUCAGGCCAAUUUAGAACUUUGAAUGGAUCGUAAAUUGGCUCAAGCAAAUGUGUUCGAUGUUUGUUUGUUCUAUCUUUUUUUACUGGUCAAAAUAUUUCUUUUAAUUUCUUUAACUGCAGUUUUGACAUUAUUAAUUCAUAUUUAUUUUCGAAUGAUGAAUUAAAAGCUUUUAGGGAAAAAAAUUGGGAUAGCAUAGAUAUUAAAUAAAAUUUAAAUGAUUCAGAUAAUAAUAAUAAUAAUAUUGUAGUAGCCAAUUUUGGCCUAAAAGAACCCAAACCAAAUAAACAAAAAAACAGUCCAAUACAUGGCCCAAAAUUAAGACAAAACCUACCCAAACCCAAUUUACAUCAAACCCUAGCCCAAAUAAUAGCCCACUUGCUUAAGAUUUUCAGCAGCAAACCCUUCCCCAAUAUGCAGCCGCCGCAUGCUUUCAGCCACUGCCGCUCGGGGCACCAACCAUCGACCUUCCAUGCGUCAUGUCACCUGCAAAGAGAGACCCAUACGCAAAGUAAUAGGAAACAACAAAGAAAACGACAAGAAAUGGCAAAAAACAAAACAAAUAUGGACAAAAAUGAUCUUAUAUUCGGUUAUAAAGCUUCGAACUUUAACAUUAUAUUGUUUUUUACGCGCAUUAAGCAAUAAAAACAGCGAAAGAACCAAAAAGGUUGAUUUUUUUAUCUCCAUUUUCAUUUUAAAUUCUGAGUUCAUUUACCCUGUUUUCUUUUUUUUAAUUAUUUUAUACGAAAAUAAACAAAAGUAAAAAAGGAGGAAAGGGAACUUACCGAUCUACUCCGUGGUUGCGCCAUCAGGACCUCCUCCUCUGUCGCCGGAUUCGAGCCCAAAAGGAGAAGAGGGGUCUUCUCUUCUCGAUCCUUUCGGGGCUAAAAAGAGGGGGCCUUCGUGCGCGUUUAAAUAGGGGCUAAAGAGCCCAUUGUCGCACCUCCGACCACCGCUUAUGGCGGCCGGUACGGAGGUGAAUCGCUACCUCGGUGACCGGAGGAAAAUGAGAAGGGAGAGAGAGCUGGAAGGCUCUCUGCCUUUUUUUUUUAAAGAAAAUAAAGUUAAAAAAAUAAAUAAAUAAUUUUGGCUUUAAUAGCCAUGCAAAACACUACCGUUUUGCACACACACACAUUACCCCCCCCCCACGCCCCAAAACGGCGCUGUUUGGGGGGGGAACCCGUGUGUUUUGGACUUAUGGGCUAUUUGCGUGAUCGGUCCCUCCAAGUUUCAGCGCGAUUUAAAUGCGCCCGUCGCUUCAUUUUUUUACCCAAAUUUUCCUUUUAAUUUUAUUCAGAUUUUGAUGUAGUCCUUUUUAAAUACUUCUAUCUAUUUUUUAUUCGAAUUUGGAACUUAAAUUUUCAUUUUUAUUUGUAAUUUUCCUCUUUUUUCCUAUAAAUCUGGACUUUUUAUUUAUUUAUUCAUCUUAAACUGUUUUUAUUUAUCUUAAAUUUCAUAUAUUAUAUUGUUUUAAAUUGCUUUAGAUAUAUUAUUUCAUGCACUAUACACUUUAAAUUGUUUUAUCAAUUGUUUAUUUUAAAUCUGUUAUAUGUAUUAUCCAUUCUAAAUUGUUUUAUUAUGUAUUUUAAAUUUUUUUUUGUAUAUUAUUACUUCCAAAUUCUUAUAUGUGUUAUAUGUUUUAAUAUAUACCCUUUCUAAAUGUUUUAUAUAUUACUUAUUUUAGAUUUAUUACUACAUAAUAUUCAUUUUAAACUUAUUUCUAUUAUUUAUCUUAAAUUAUCUUACAUAUCAUUUAUUUUAAACUUUUUACACAGGUCAUUUUGAAUUAUUAUAUACAUGUUCAUCACUUCACAUUGCUUUUUAUUAGUUUAUUUUAAAAUCCUUUUUUAUAUAUUAUUUUUGAAUUACUUAUUAUUUUAAGUUUAUACAAUGUUUAUUCUUAAACUUCUUUUUGUAUGGAUCAUUUAUUUUCAAAUUAUCAUAUGUUUUUAUCUUAAACUCUUUAUACGUUAUUUUAUAUAUAUAUAUAGGUUAAGUUGUUUUUUUUUAAUAUACUAUGCAUAUUAUUUGUUUUAAAUUUAUUUUUAUGUAUUAUUUAUUUUAGACUUUUCAUUAAUGAUUUUAAAUUAUUUUUUAUCAUUUACUUUAAGUUACUUUUCUAGUAUUUAUUUUAAACUCUUUACAUAUAUAUUUUAUAUUUAAGAUUAUUUUAUUAUUUGAUUUAAUUUGUUUUAUACUAUUACUUCAUUUCUAUAUUUAUUAAGCUUAAUGUUAAAUAAUGUAUGUUGUGAAAUUAUUGCUAUUGCAUGUAUGUUAAUUUGCCUACUCGUAUUCAUAUUAUUGCCAUGAGCUUGUAGAAUAUUUUAUGCAUGAAUCAUUGUUCCUUGUCGCACUAUACUUCAUUUCAUAUCAUUGCCUCAAAUUAGACCCCAAUACAUUUAUCCAACAAAUCGCUUUAUUCUAACCUAAAUAACUAAUACACGUCGUUUAAAUAUUGUAUUCGCUACUAUUCAAAAACAAAAUUUUCCAAAUAAGGCAAUGUUUUGCAUUUUGGAACAUCGAGGAAUUGUGCCCUAACUUACGAGGUUUCGAUUUUCUCGUUGUUUCUAAAUAGUCAAAUAUCCUUUUCAAGUUUUAAAACAAAUGAAAUUAUUAUUCAAAUUAAAAGACGACCUUGCGCUCGGGAAUUCAUGGUAUUGUGUCCUAACUUACGGGAUGUGAUACUCCGAUAUCUCGGGAUAAGAAAAUCUUUAAACAAUCGUUUUGAGCUAAUUCAAGAAUUUUAAAAUUGAUGUUAAUAAAAAAGGAUCGUAUUUCAAAUCCAUUCCCGAUUUUUAAUUUUUGACAUUAAGACACUAACUAAUCAAUUCGGUACCAAUUUUUGGGCGUGUCGAGGGUGCUAAUCCUUCCUCACACGUAACCGACUCCCGAACUUGUUCUCUUGAAUUUCGUGGACCAAAAUGACGUUUUAGUAAACUAAAAUUAUUUUAUUAAAACAAAGGUGAUCCGAUCACACCAAAUAAAGAUCGGUGGCGACUUUUGUUUUGAUUUUCGCCUUUAAACAAAGUCGAUUCCUGUUUUCAAAAAAUGGUUUCGACAGCUUGGCAACUCCACUAGGGACUUUGAGAGUCAAGCCUUAAAUUUAUUAAUUUUUGUCUUUCGUCAAAAAUUGAAAAUCAGUUUUAGAUUUACUACAUUACAUGUUGUCUGUUAUUUUCAUGAUUUUCUUCAUAAUAUGAUUGCUUUAAGUGGUUUAAUUCUUUGAUGUAUCUUUGCAUAUCGCAUCGCAUUAUUGGUCAAUUUUACCCUCUUAAGUUGAAGUGAGAAACUACUCCUUUGUGAGGUCUUCACCUCCAUAUAGGAUCGUGGAUCGCUUUCGGGAUACAUCCGUACCUGCGUAUUCUUGAGGUUUUCAUCUCCGUAUAGCCGUAGGGAAAUGUAUUCCCCUGAAUCGAACUCGGUCCGUAUGAGCCUAUAAUGGGCGAGGAUCGAGGAAUCUGCUGGUUCAGGUACCUUUACUUUAGAAUCAAACUACAUGUAAUGAGCCCUAAGAGCCUACCCUAGGUAGAACUACACCGAACCCUAGUGGUUACCCGAUUAGGUGCUUAAUUAUUCCUUAUUUGUUUUGAAUUCUAUUCUUUGUAUAUAAUACUGACUUGUUGUGUUUUGUUGUUUUCGUAUGGCAUCUCAUCAUAAAAGGGUGUUGAUUCACGUUCGGUUACUAGAUAGGAGAGUUUAGCAUAGAAAAAUGAUUUCUUGAUAGAGUGGAGGAUAAUGCGGCCGUCCGAGUGUGGUCCGAGAAAACGCAAAAAGAGAAAGAAGAUAGUUUAACUGAGGGAUAUGAAUCGGAGUUGUGGGUUUCACUCGCAUCAGUGUGACUCAGAACGACCUGCAAGAAUUAAGGGAUAUAUGGAAUAGUUGGAAUAGUGAGGUCAAGCAACUCUUUUACUGUAACUAUGGGGACCUACCCUAUUUGCUCGAUGUAAAGGUGGACAAGUACUUGUUUCGGGCUCUCGCAUAGUUUUGGAACCCCACUUACAGUUACUUCACCUUCGGAGGAGUCGAUUUAGUACCUAUUGUGGAGGAAUACAUGGAGUUACUUAUUUUCCUGAAGAUUCAGGCCGAUAGGGCCUAUUCAAGACCUGUCAAUGUCCCUCCCUUUUUGAAGAAAUUGAUAAAUAUCACGGGGAUGAGCGAGCAAUGGGUUGUAGCCCGCAUCAAGCAAAAAGGGGAUAAUAAGUGUAUUCCUUGGAGGAAUUUGAAAGAUUUGAUCCUUGCACACCCGGAUUCGAAGAAAAGGGUUAACAUUUUUGCCUUAAGCCUCUACGAUUUGAUCAUCUUUCCUAAGGCACUCGGACACAUAGAUGAAGCCGUUUCAGAUUUAUUCGAUCGACUUGAUAAAGGUACCACACCCGUCCCGGCAAUCCUCGCAGAAACUUUCAGAUCCUUGAAUGCAUGUCGGAAAGCGGGCGAGGGAAGAUUUAUUGGUUGUGCACAGCUUCUUCUAGCUUGGUUCCAUAGCCAUUUUUGGAAGGUGGAAAAGGUUUCCUAUCGGGUCUUCUCUAAGGAUUAUUCCCCAUUAAGAGAAUUAGUGGCUACAUCGAGGCGAGACGACAUCUCUGAAGAGAAAUGGAUAACUAUUCUCUAAAAUUUGCGGACCGAAGACGUUGAAUGGAGGGCUCCAUGGUUGAUCCCUGACGAGAUCUUAUAUAGGUGCGGUGAUUUUGACUGGGUCCCUCUGGCGGGAAUAUGGGGAGCCGUUGGAUACUCUCCACUGAUGGUGUUAAGGUAAUAUCGAUUAAGGUAAUUUAUACCGGUGACACAAGGGUUGGCACAAUGUGAGUUCCUCUAUAAAGACAAUAAUUAUAAGAGGAGGGUUCGCAAGAUAUCAUAUGCUUGGAACCAAACUCAGAGAAUGAAAGGAUUCACCACAGGCCCGAUGACGACCCCCGAGUAUGAAUGGUGGUGGGGUAGAAGAGUCAACGACAACAUCCCAAGACCAAAUUAAGAGAACACUCAACCGAUAGAGGAGCAUUUACCGGUUAUCUCAUCCGAGUUAAAGGUCAUUAAACAAGACUUUGAGAAAAGGAACUUAGAGUUGGGGAAGAAGAUAGAGCAGCAAGAAGAAGAGAAAAUGAAGUUGGGAUUAAACGUCGAUAUCCACAACCUAGAGGCCGAGAAAUUGAGGAAGGGAAAGAACAAGGCUGAGGAAGAUUUGGAUAGUCUGAAAACCGAUUACAAUAAGCUGCGUAUGUCGAUAAGAACUGCCGGUUUAGGUAAAACGUCGGAGCAAUGGUGUCAAGAGAUCAAAGAGGAAAAGACUAGAGCCGACCAUUGGGAGAAAAAGUUUCAAGAUACCCGAGUAUGAGAGGACACUCUGAAGAAGAGUUUGUUAGAAACCCAAAACGAAAAGGAAAAGUUACAAGCUCGGGUGGCUGAAUUGGAAAGAUCACUUCAUCAACAUUGUAGUCGUAAUUCGAUAAUUGAGCUGAAGGCUAGUUUGAGCAGGAUCGAAGAGUUGAAAAGGGAAGUAGAAGAACUCAAGACUACACUACGAGAUAGCAAAAUUCGAGUGGAACUUCUUGAGGCAAACAACAACCAUUACAGGGAACAGCUUCACCACUCUCAGAACUAGAUUAGAGAUAGAGACAAUGUCAUGGGCGAAGCUGUAGCUCAGGUUCGGGAGGUAGCCGAUUACUUGCAAACCUUGGCAGUUCAGGCUGAUGUAUUGAGCUUAAAGUACUAGUUGGAAUCUGAGCGAGGCUGAAACUUAGCUUGGCUUCUUAGGAAUGUUAAGGUUUUAGGCAUUAGGGCAAAGUCGUAUAUGUAAUCAUCCAUUCUAUGUAAAGAAAUUUUUCUUCUAGUGAAGUUCUUCUAAUGAAAUUGAAUUAGAGUCAACGCCUCUUUUUGCAUUCAUUCAUUUGCAUUACAUUUCAUCAUAUGCAUUAAAUUUCACGAAAAGACCCUGAUUAAGCAAAAUUAUUUCAGUUAAUCUGGAAACCAACAAGAAUCAACCAACCGAACACAGCUACUAUACCCGUCAUAAAACCAAAACAAUGGAUCAAAGAUUGGAAAGGAUAGAACACAUGCAAAGGGAAAUGCAAGAGCAGUUACAAGCACAGAUGCAAGAGCAACUGGCUAAAAUACAACACGAUAUGAAGGAAAAAAUGGAAGAAUCCCAAAAUAAUCUGAUAGGCCAGUUGGCGCAGUUGCUGGCUAGAGAACGCGAAAAGGGGAAGAGCACUAUGGGGAACGAUAAUGAAGACCCUAUCUAUCCUCCAGGAUUUGCUCCGGUAAACACUCAACCACAACCGGAGGUACACCCACAAACGGUACCCCUCACUAUCAGGCCCCAACAAUACCAGACCAAUGCCUCAACACCAAUGAAUAUUCUUAUAGGUUUCGGCUCUAAUCCCGGGGAUAAUCCAGCUAAUCCAUUUGUCUCGGACCUCGAUGACAUGGCAGAAAUGGAGAAAAAGAAAAGUAAACCUGGCGAAAGAACUCGAUGAUCGGUGUAAAUGGCUUGAAGAAAAGUUCAAAGCGAUGGAGACUGUUGAUUACCAUGGCGGGAUCGAUGCUAAGGACUUAAGCUUGGUCCCAAAUCUGGUGCUCCCACCAAAAUUUAAAACCCCGGAGUUUGAAAAGUAUAAUAGGACGAGCUGCCCCGAAAGUCAUGUUACGAUGUUUUGUCGAAAGAUGACAGGGUAUGUUAACAAUGAUCAGCUGUUGAUCCACUAUUUCUAAGACAGUCUAAUCGGAUCUGCGGCCAAGUGGUAUAACCAGCUCAGCCAUGCCCAAAUUGGUUCAUGGAAGGACUUGGCUCAAACUUUCAUGAAACAAUACGGUCACGUAACAGACAUAGCACCUGACAGAAUUACUCUACAAAACAUGGAAAAGAAGCCAAUUGAGAGCUUCAGACAGUAUGCCCAACGAUGGAGGGAGAUGGCAAUGCAGGUCCAACCACCCCUCCUAGGGAAGGAAACGACCAUGCUCUUUACCAACACUCUAAAGGCCCCAUUUAUUAACCACAUGUUAGGGAGCGCUGCUAAAAGCUUCUCAGACAUAGUAAUGUCCGGGGAGAUGAUAGAAAACGCGGUAAGAUGUGGGAAAAUUGAAGCGGGGAAAAGUGCCAAAAGAUCAGCUCCAAGAAGGAAAGAAAACGAGAUGAACAAUGCGAGUUUAUACAAUAAGGGUUAUUCCAAGCCAGUCACAGUGAGCCAGCUGAGGGCAGUGACUGCUAGCCAUCAGGGCUCCACAAGACAAGAUUCCAACCCAAGACCUAACACGGAAAGAGUCCAGUUCACGCCAAUCAUAAUGAUGUAUAGGGAGCUUUACCAGAAUCUAUUCGAUGCGCAUGUGGUGUCUCUAUUUUACCUGAAACCCAUACAACCUCCAUUCCCUAAGUGGUAUGACGCAAACGCUCAAUGCGAAUACCAUACAGGAAUUGCGAGGCACACAAUUGUAAACUGCACGGCCUUCAAAAAAUUAGUCGAAAGGUUCAUAAAGAUGGGCAUUGUAAAGUUUGAUGUUCCCAUAGGACCUAAUGUGGUGGGAAAUUCGUUGCCCAGAUAUUCAGACAAUGGGGUAAACGCGAUAGUCGAAAAUGGAGGGAGAAGAACUAAGAUGGACGUAUCAGAGGUAAAGACUCCGUUCAGAUGGGUUUGGAAGAAAAUAGUGGAAAAAGGCUUACUUAUACAAGAUUUAAGGGAGAAGCCUGAAUGAGCAAAGUACUACUGUGAAUUCCACGAGGAGGAAGGGCAUGAGAUCCAAAAGUGUAAUGAAUUUAGGGCCCUGGUACAGAGAUUGAUAGAAAAUAAAGAGAUUGAAUUCUUUGAGUAUACUGAGGUCCCGAAGGGAGAAGAUGUGUACACGUCAGAGCAAGGGCCAACCAACAAAGUCCAUGAGGUCAGUCACCCGGUCGUAAUUAUAUCCCGACCAAGAGCCAAUGAAGUCGGAGUACCAAUUGCGCCAAAGGUCAUAAUCCAGAAGUCCGUCGCUUUCCCUUAUAAAGAUAGUAAGAGGGUUCCUUGGAAUUACGACUGCAACGUAACGAUCCCGGAAGGGGAGAACCCAACUGGCACUUCGGAGAAAGGUCAAGAUGAGGGUUUCUAUACACGCAGUGGAAGGCGUUAUACCCCAAACACAAAAGCAGAACCAGUUAAAGGAAAAUCUGUGGUCGUUAAACAAGAAAAAGAAAAGACAACCAGACCUGAAUCACCUAUCAAUGAGCCUAUAACUGAAAAGGAGGCUAAGGAAUUCUUAAAAUUCCUGAAGCACAGCGAGUAUAGCAUUGUAGAAUAAUUGCACAAUCAACCAGCUCGCAUAUCGGUACUAGCCUUGCUCUUGAGUUCAGAAACUCACCGAAGUGCAUUGAUGAAGGUUUUGAAUGAAACAUAUGUUGCAGAUGAUAUCUCUGUCAACAAGCUCGAUCAUCUGGUCAAUAACAUCAGCGUGAAUAAUUUUAUUUUCUUUAAUGAUGAUGAAAUACCAAUGGGAGGCAUGGGAUCUACAAAGGCCCUACACAUUACCACUCGCUGCAAGGGAUAUACAUUGCCAGGGGUAUUGAUUGAUAAUGGAUCAGCGUUGAAUGUCAUGCCCUUGUCCACGUUAAAUAGGUUGCCAGUGGAUAACUCUUACAUGAAGACAUGUCAAAACGUCGUGAGAGCAUUCGACGGUACGGAAAGAAAAGUGAUGGGAAGAAUUGAGAUACCUCUCUUGAUUGGCCUAAAUACAUACGAAGAGAACAUUUUGGUAAUGUACAUCAAGCCAUCAUACAAUUGCCUGUUGGGGAGGCCAUGGAUCCACUCAGCGGGAGUAGUACCGUCGUCAUUAAACCAAAAAUUGAAGUUGGUGACUGAGGGUAGAUUGGUAACGAUAAAGCAGAAGAAGAUAUCAUUGCAUCUGUUACUAGUGACGCACCGUACAUAGGUGUGGACAAUGAGGCAAUAGAAUGUUCCUUUCGAUCGCUAGAAUUCGUCAAUGCCACAUUCAUUGUCGAAGGAAACAAGAUCCCAAUACCCAAAAUAUCCAAAACUACGAGGAUGGGCCUGCGAUUGAAGGUCAGCAAAGGAGCCUUGCCAGGAAGAGGACUUGGAAGGUGCCUCCAAGGAAGGAGCGAGGUACCAAUGCUAAGAGAAAAACGAGACCGCUUUGGCUUAAUAUUUAAGCCAGACGCGAAGUAAAAGAAGAAAGAGCUAAAGAAAAGGCAAGAGAUGAGAAGAGCGCAUCUGUACGGUGAGGAGGUCAAGUGGGAACCAAUGACCUUUCCUCAUUUAUCCCGAACGUUUGUGUCUGGAGGAACUAUCCACCCAAAACAAGAGAUGACAUUGAAGAAAGUGGCGGAAGAAAUGCUAGAAAGUUUGAGCAUUAAUGCCAUAUCUGAAGAAAGAACCGAAGAAGGGAAUUUAUCUGGAAUUCGCCCUUAUAUAUCGGGAAGUGUUUUGAACAAUUGGACCGCGGAGGAGAUCCCUGUAACUUUUAGAAUUAACUCAGAGUAAUAUUCAAAACAAGCUUAUUGCUCUAAGCCUAGGGGCAAUAAGAAUCUUUUUAUGAAAUAGGCAUAUGUCCAAAUAUCGUUAUUUCAAUAAAAAUGCAUUUUUGCAUAUCAUCUUGAGUAAAUAUUCUUUUAUUCUUUCUACUUCAUUCAUAAUCAUACCAUACAAAUCAAAUAUUCUUAGAUUCUUUUGUUCAUUGGAUUUCUUUCUUCAUCCAUAACAGGUCUUCAGAUAUCAAUGAUAUGAGCAAUGUUCCUACUGACUCGGAGACUCUUUUCGAGCAAGAUUUGUGUAUGGAAGACACUGAGGAUUUUGAAGAUGACUGAAAUUGUAACCUAUCUCCUGAUUUGUUAAGAAUGGUAGAACAAGAGGAGAAACAAAUCCUACCUCACAAAGAGUUGGUAGAAAUUGUUAGCCUAGGAGAAGGAAAAGAUGUGAAGAUUGGAGCUAAUAUCAUUGCAGAAAUAAAGCAAGACCUCAUCGAGUUACUCUGGGAAUUCAAGGACGUCUUCGCAUGGUCAUAUCAAGACAUGCCCGGAUUGAAUACUAAUAUUGUGGUACAUCGACUCCCCAUAAAGGAAGAAUGUAGGCUAGUUCAACAAAAAUUUCAAAGGAUGAGACUCGAUGUUUUGUUGAAGAUAAAGAAAGAGGUCAAGAAGCAAUUCGAUGCUGGUUUCUUACAAUUGGUCAAGUACUCAUAAUGGGUAGCCAAUAUAGUCCUGGUUCCUAAGAAAGAUGGGAAGGUACGAAUGUGCAUGGACUAUCGAGAUUUGAAUAAAGCCAACCCAAAGGACAAUUUCCCAUUACCUCACAUUGAUACGCUAGUGGAUAACACGGCAGGUUACUCGCUUUUCUCAUUCAUUGACGGCUUCUCGGGGUACAACCAGAUAAAGAUGCAUCCUGAAGACAUGGAAAAAAUGACAUUCUUAACCAUGUGGGGGACGUUUUGUUAUAAGGUGAUGCCAUUUGGACUGAAAAACGCAGGAGCAACAUAUCAGAGAGCCAUGGUAACUUUGUUCCAUGAUAUGAUGCACAAGGAGAUCGAAGUCUACAUUGACGGCAUGAUUGCAAAAUCCAAAAUAGAGAAGGAGUAUGUGCAAGUCCUGAGGAAACUAUUCUUGAGGUUAAGAAAGUUCUAACUAAAACUCAAUCCUGCAAAGUGUACCUUCGGGGCCAGGUCAGAAAAAUUGUUGGGAUUUGUAGUCAGUGAGAGGGGAAUUGAGAUUGACCCAGAUAAAGUCAAGGCCAUACAAGAAUUACCCCUACCGCGCACUCAAAAAGAAGUUUGAGGUUUCCUAGGAAGAUUAAAUUACAUUGCUCGGUUUAUUUCACAACUAACGGAGAAAUGUGACCCAAUAUUCUGUCUCCUUAGGAAGCAUAAUCCAGGUGUUUGGGAUGAGGAAUGCCAGAAAACUUUCGAUAAGGUCAAACAUUAUUUGUCCAAUGCCCCAGUACUGAUGCCACCUUACCCGGAUAAAUUACUGAUACUGUACCUGGCAGUGUUUGGAAACUCCAUGGGAUGUGUGCUAGGCCAACAUGACGAGUCAGGAAGAAAAGAGAAAGCAAUACACUAUCUCAGUAAGAAAUUCACCGAAUGUGAGACAAGGUAUUCGUCGAUCGAGAAGUUGUGUUGUGCUUUGAUUUAGACAACCCGAAGACUGAGACAAUACAUGUUGUACCACACAACUUGGCUUAUCUCAAAACUAGACCAUUUGAAGUACAUGAUGGAGUCAAAUGCUUUGAACGGAAGAAUGACUCGUUAGCAAAUUUUGCUUUCUGAGUUUGACAUAGUCUACAUAAACCAAAAGGCUGUAAAAGGGAGUGUAAUAGCAGAUUUUCUGGCCAGUAGAGCUCUAGAAGAUUAUGAGCUGUUGAGUUUUGAUUUCUCGAAUGAGGAUCUAAUGUAUGUCGUGACCAUAGAAGAAGACUCUCAAGAAGGCUACCCCUGGAAACUGAAUUUUGACGGAGCUUCCAAUGCUGUGGGGAACGGAAUCGGGGCAGUCUUGGUAUCUCCAAACGGAGAUCAUUAUCCUUUCACCAGUAAAUUGGAUUUUGAUUGCACAAACAAUAUGGCCGAAUCCGAAGCAUUUAUCAUGGGAAUUCGUACUGUCAUAGAAUGCAAGAUUAGAGCGCUAGAGGUAUAUGGGGAUUCGGCAUUAGUGAUCUAUCAGCUUAAAGGUGAAUGGGAGACAAGAGACCCUAAGUUGAUCAAUUACCGAAGGCUGGUUCUUAAGUUAAUCAAGGAGUUUGACGAUAUCACUUUCUGCUACCUCCCACGAGAUGAAAACCAGAUGGCUGAUGCCUUGGCAACCUUAGCUUCUAUGAUCAAAUUGAAUAAACAAGAGGAUAUGAAGCCUAUCCAAAUGAGUAUUUAUGAGGCUCCGACUCAUUGCUGCAACAUCGAAGAAAAAGAAAAGAAAGAUGAUCAUCCUUGGUAUCAGGAUAUUUUACGAUAUGUGAAAAGCCGUGAAUACCCAGACCAAGUGACUGAGAAUGAUAAAAGGACAUUAAGAAGACUGGCUAGUGACUAUGUCUUAGAUGGAGAGAUCCUAUACAAAAGAAGGAAGGAUCAAGUACUCUUGAGAUGUGUAGACGCUGUCGAGGCUAAACAAAUCCUGGAAGAGGUUCAUGAGGGUGUCUGCGGAACACAUGCUAAUGGUUUCACCAUGGCCAUACAGAUCAUGAGAUUCGGAUAUUAUUGGUCCACUAUGGAAGGAGAUUGCAUCAACUAUGCCAAGAAGUGCCAUAAAUGCCAAAUCUAUGGAGAUCAAAUUCAUGUACCUCCUUCACCCCUUCAUGUCAUGACUUUUCCAUGGCCUUUCUCCAUGUGGGGCAUGGAUGUCAUUGGGCCGAUCUCACCGAAGGCAUCUAAUGGAUAUCGAUUUAUCUUUUUCGUCAUAGAUUAUUUCACCAAAUGGGUAGAGGCCACCUCCUACGCUAACGUCACAAAGUCAGCAGUCAGUAAGUUCUUAAAGAAAGAAAUCAUUUGUCGAUAUGGGAUGCCUGAGAGGAUCAUAUCAGACAAUGCACUAAACUUGAACAAUAGCACAAUAGCAGAGGUCUGUAGCCAAUUCAAGAUCAAACACCACAAUUCGUUACCAUAUCGCCUAAAGAUAAAUGGUGCAGUGGAAGCAGCCAAUAAGAACAUCAAAAAGAUCAUAGGAAAAAUGACUGAGACCUAUAAAAAUUGGCACGAGAAAUUACCAUUUGCCCUUUAUGCCUACCGGAUGUCAGUCAGAAACUUUACCGGGGCAACACCUUUUUCUUUAGUUUAUGGAAUGGAGGCGAUUCUGCCUAUUGAGGUCGAGAUUCCCUCUCUACGCGUGCUGUCAGAACCAAAAUUAGAUGAAACAGAAUGGAUCCAGUCUCAAUACGACCAGUUGAACUUGAUUGAAGAAAAGAGGCUAAAGGCCAUUCGCCAUGGUCAAAUGUAUCAAAAGAGAAUGAUGCGGGCUUAUAAUAAGAAGGUUCACCCUAGAGAAUUCCAUGAAGGAGACCUCGUAUUGAAAAAGAUCCUCCCCAUACAAAAGGACUUCAGAGGGAAAUAGAUGCCAAAUUGGGAAGGAACUUAUGUGGUAAAGAAGGCUUUUUCUGGAGAAGCUCUGAUUUUGACUGAGAUGGAUGGUAAAAGUCUACCUAAUCCCGUGAAUUCAGAUUCUGUCAAGACGUAUUUUACCUAAAAAAACGGAAAGGCCAAGGCGAAAACCCUUAAAAGAGCGCUUUGAGACCAAAGGGGUUUUGAAUUGAAAACCCAGAAAUGGGUAAUUCAAAUCGAAGAUGGGGCAUGCAGUAAUAUUGUCCUCUCUGGACUAACAAUAAGGAAUGAUGCUACAUUUUGAGGCAUCAACAAAGUACUCUUAGUCUCUCAAACACAUACCAAGUUCAAAGGGUCCUCGAGAGGAUUUGCACAACGAAACUCAUACUACGAUAUCUGGGGCACCUAUUCUUAUCUCAUUCAUUUUGUAAAAAUGUGUUAUCUUGAUUAAUUUAUUAGUUCUUAUUUUGUAUCUUAGCAAAUUUGCUAUUUGGAUUACCCUAUUCAUUCUGAGCUUUGCUCUCAAUAAUAUUUCAUCUUGUCUACCGCAAUAAUCUUUUUCAAGCGUUUUCCGUUAAAAUGAUGAUUAAUGGACUAAUAAUAUUCAAAAAAAAGUUCUGCGCAUUACUCCGAAAUGCUCCUAAAUGAUACAAGGACCUGAAACGGGACUAACUAGUUUGAAUUAUCCAAAUUCAAGGAUUGGAAACCUGAGGGAAAGAAUAGCCUAAAUUGUAAUUAUUCUUUGAUUUUUUUGCCAAAGAUACCAGUCGAAGAAAAAGGUAAAGUAAUACGGCAAUGAUAAAACCUCGAUGAACAACGAGUGAUAUCAAAUCAAGCAUUUAAAAAUGACAUUUUCGCAUUCAUGAAAAUAUCAUUCAUACACAUCUAGCUAAGAGCAUCUUAUUCAUUCUGAUCAUGACAUCUUAAUCAUUUGGCAUAAAUAGGCAUAUGGAAUCGAUUCUACAGAUCAUUUUCCAAGAGGAUGGUGUAGCAACAUCAGUGAAUUUGCAGAUCUUGUCUCCCUGAAGUUGCAGUGGAACAGAUCGAAGACUGCAAAUCUUGUCUUCCUGAAGUUGCAGUGAAGCAGAUUUAAGCCACCACCCUAUCUCCCUAAGUUGUAGUGGAGCAGGCUAAAUAUUGUAGAUCUUGUCUCCCUGAGGUUGCAAUGGAGCAUAUCGAAGAUAGCAAAUCUUAUCUCUCUGAAGUUGCAGUAGAGCAGAUUAAGGCUAAAUCCUAUACAUCUGAAGAUGCAGUGGGUCGGAUCAAAUCUACCAUGGCAAAUCUUAUCUCUCUGAAAUUGCAGUAGAGCAGAUUAAAGCCAUUAGCAUUAUCUCCUGAAGAUGCAGUGGAGUGGUUUGAAAUUACCAAGUCUUAUUUCCCUGAAGUUGCAGUGGAAUAGACUAAAGAUAACAAAUCUUAUCUCUCUGAAGUUGCAGUAGAGCAGAUUAAAGCUAUAAAUCCCAUACCUCUGAAGUUGCAGUAGGUCGGAUCAAGUUACCAUGGCAAAUCUUAUCUCCUUGAAGUUGCAGUGGAGUAGAUUGAAGUCGCAAACCUCAUCUCCCUAAAGAUGCAAUGGAACAGGUUGAAAUUAUCAAAUCUUAGCCCUUUGAAGUUCUAGCGGAGUAGAUCGAAGCUACAAGUCUCUUCUCCCUGAAAUUACAUUGAAGCAAAUCAUAGCGCCAGUCCCUAUACCCCUGAAGAUGCAGUGGGAUGGAACAAGGCUUUUAGAAUAAAAGAAGCAUCAAGAAGCCAAGGUUCAGUGAGACUAGGCAAAAUUGGCUCCUUUAAGGUCUUUGCUCCAUUCUCGUUACACGACAAUGAGCAAAAAGGGGCAGCUGUAGUAGCCAAUUUUGGCCUAAAAGAACCCAAACCAAAUAAACAAGAAAACAGUCCAACACAUGGCCCAAAAUUAAGACAACCUACCCAAACCUAAUUUACAUCAAACCCUAGCCCAAAUAAUAACCCACUUGCUUAAGAUUUUCAGCAGCAAACCCUUCCCCAAGAUGCAGCCGCCGCAUGCUUUCAGCCAUCGCCGCUCGGGGCGCCAACCACCGACCUUCCACACGUCACGUCACCUGCAAAGAGAGAUCCACACGGAAAGUAAUAGGAAACAACAAAGAAAACGACAAGAAAUGGCAGAAAACAAAAAAAAUAUGGACAAAAACGGAUCUUAUAUCCGGUUAUAAAGCUUCAAACUUUAGCCUUGUAUUGUUUUUUACGCGCAUUAAGCAAUAAAAACAGCGAAAGAACCAAAAAGGUUGAUUUUUUUUAUCUCUAUUUUCGUUUUAAAUUCUGAGUUCAUUUACUCUGUUUUCUUUUUUUUUAAUUAUUUUUAUAUGAAAAUAGACAAAAGUAAAAAAGGAGGAAAGGGAACUUACCGAUCUACUCCGUGGUUGCGCCAUCAGGACCUCCUCCUCUGUCGCCGGAUUCGAGCCCAAAAGGGGAAGAGGGGUCUUCUCUUCUCGAUCCUUUCGGGGCUAAAAGGGGAGGUCUUCGUGCGCGUUUAAAUAGGGGCUAAAGAGCCCAUUGUCGCACCUCCGACCACCGCUUAUGGCGGCCAGUGCGGAGGUGAAUCGCUACCUCGGUGACUGGAGGAAAAGGAGAAGGGAGAGAGAGCAAGAAGGCUCUCUGCCUUUUUUUUUAAAGAAAAUAAAGUUAAAAAAAAGUAAAUAAAAAAUUUUGGCUUUAAUAGCCAUGCAAAACACUACCGUUUUGCACACACACACAUACCCUCCCCACGCCCCAAAACGGCGCCGUUUAGGGGGGGAACCCGUGUGUUUUGGACCUAUGGGCUAUUUGCGCGAUCGGUCCCUCCAGGUUUCAGCGCGAUUUAAAUGCACCCGUCGCUUCAUUUUUUUACCCGAAUUUUCCCUUUAAUUUUAUUUAGAUUUUGAUUUAGUCCUUUUAAAUGCUUGCAUCUAUUUUUUAUUCGAAUUUGGACCCUAAAUUUUCGUUUUUAUUUGUAAUUUUCCCCUUUUUUCCUAUAAAUCUGGACUUUUUAUUUAUUUAUUCAUGUUAAACUGUUUUUAUUUAUCUUAAAUUUCGUAUAUUAUAUUGUUUUAAAUUGCUUUAGAUAUAUUAUUUCAUGCACUGUACACUUUAAAUUGUUUUAUCCAUUGUUUAUUUUAAAUCUAUUAUAUGUAUUAUCCAUUUUAAAUUGUUUUAUUAUGUAUUUUAAAUUUUUUUUUGUAUGUUAUUACUUCCAAAUUCUUAUAUGUGUUAUCUGUUUUUAUAUAUACCCUUUCUAAAUGUUUUGUAUAUUACUUAUUUUAGAUUUAUUACUACAUAAUAUUCAUUUUAAACUUAUUUCUAUUAUUUAUCUUAAAUUAUCUUACAUAUCAUUUACUUUAAACUUUUUACACAGAUCAUUUUGAAUUAUUAUAUACAUGUUCAUCACUUCACAUUGUUAUUUAUUAGUUUAUUUUAAAAUCCUUUUUUAUAUAUUAUUUUUGAACAGCUUAUUAUUUUAAGUUUAUACAAUGUUUAUUCUUAAACUUCCUUUUGUAUAGAUCAUUUAUUUUCAAAUUACCAUAUGUUUUUAUCUUAAACUCUUUAUACCUUAUUAUAUAUAUAUAUUUAGGUUAAGUUGUUUUUUUUUAAUAUACUAUGCAUAUUAUUUGUUUUAAAUUUAUUUUUAUGUAUUAUUUAUUUUAGACUUUUCAUUAAUGAUUUUAAAUUAUUUUUUAUCAUUUACUUUAAGUUGCUUUUCUAGUAUUUAUUUUAAACCCUUUACAUAUAUAUUUUAUAUUUAAGAUUAUUUUAUUAUUUGAUUUAAUUUGUUUUGUACUAUUACUUCAUUUCUAUAUUUAUUAAGCUUAAUGUUAAAUAAUGUAUGUUGUGAAAUUAUUGUUAUUGCAUGUAUGUUAAUUUGCUUACUCGUAUUCAUAUUAUUGCCAUGAGCUUGUAGAAUACUUUAUGCAUGAAUCAUUGUUCUUUGUCGCACUAUACUUCAUUUCAUAUCAUUGCCUCAAAUUAGACCCCAAUACAUUUAUCCAACAAAUCGCUUUAUUCUAACCUAAAUAACUAAUACACGUCGUUUAAAUAUUGUAUUCGCUACUAUUCAAAAACAAAAUUUUCCAAAUAAGGCAAUGUUUUGCAUUUUGGAACAUCGAGGAAUUGUGCCCUAACUUACGGGGUUUCGAUUUUCUCGUUGUUUCUAAAUAGUCAAAUAUCCUUUUCAAGUUUUAAAACACAUGAAAUUCUUAUUUAAAUUAAAAGACGACCUUGCGCUCGGGAAUUCAUGGUAUUGUGUCCUAACUUACGGGAUGUGAUACUCCGAUAUCUCGGGAUAAGGAAAUCUUUAAGCAAUUGUUUUGAGCUAAUUCAAGAAUUUUAAAAUCGAUGUUAAUAAAAAAGGAUCGUAUUUCAAAUCCAUUCCCGAUUUUCAAUUUUCAACAUUAAGACACUAACUAAUCAAUUCGGUACCAAUUUUUGGGCGUGUCGAGGGUGUUAAUCCUUCCUCACACGUAACCGACUCCCGAACUUAUUCUCUUGAAUUUCGUGGACCAAAAUGCCAUUUUAGUAAACUAAAAUUGUUUUAUUAAAACAAAGGUGAUCCGAUCACACCAAAUAAAAAUCGGUAGCGACUCCUGUUUUGAUUUUCGUCUUUAAACAAAGUCGAUUUCCGUUUUCAAAAAAUAAUUUCGACAAAUAUGAUAGAAGAAAAGCAAAUUAUUUUAUUACCAUAACAAGUAAAGAUCAUUACAAUAUAUCGAUUAUAUUACUACUGCCAUAAUAAGGAAUGCAACCUCCAUAACAGGUAAAGUCACAACAAAUUACCAUGCACGGCUGCUUGUGUCUCAAGUAAAGUCUUAAAACUAUUCCCCGAAUCAGUGUGUGACCAAUGGAUUUAAUUAAAUAUUAAAAUCUCAGCAUCCAAUCCCAAUAUACUUUCCCUAUUAAAAUAUG